UGUAACACCACUUGGACUCGUUACGUUCUGUGCCUGGUUCAGCUCCUUGGUUAUCUUCAGCUCCUCCAUGAUUUGGUUGGUUAUCUUCAGCUACUCCAUCUCCAUAGAUUUGGACCAUAACAAGCUGCACGUGAAUGUCAACAGGCUCAGCUUCAGGGAUCUCAACUUGGACUUCUUGCUCAUGGGCUUCCUCCACAUUUUCAAUCUGGGCCCCUGGUUCUAGAUUCUUAAAACAUGAACGGCCCAGGUUGGUAACUCCAUCGAUCCUAACAGCUGGCCGUAGACGGCGAAUAGGAGACCAUCUGUUUACACCGCGAUUCGAACCAGACGGUCUACCGAUAAAAGAUACAGGUAGAAGGACACCGAAGAGAGGCAUAGAAACCAAUCUCCAUAUUUCUUCAUAAAGUCCCCGUACAAGAAGAAGACAUUGAAGAAGAUGACGGAGCAGAGGGUUUUGACGAUGGCAAACGCAUCAUUUCUGAGAACGGCUCUGAGAUUGAUUCUGAUGUUGGGAAGCACAGAAGGAAUCAACGCCAAUAGCACCACAGAGAUGAAGGCAAUGCCCAUCUGAAGAACACUCCAUGAACAGUGAAGCAACAAGCCAAACAUAUGCCUGGAUUCUUGGAUGGAAGAGCCUGGCCUGAGCAAUCCAGAGGAGAGUAUCCUGCCACAUUCUGAAUCGAAGGAAAGAAAACGAAGAGAGAGAGAGAGAGAGAGAGAGUUCCACGAUGAAGAUUGAAGAUGAUGAAAGAGGAAGAGAGAGUUCAGAUGAAAGAUUGAAAAGAUGAUAAAAGAGGAAGAGUUAACUGAAUCAAGUUAGAGUCUUUUAUAGAGUUAACUGAAGAGAGAGUCGCUUCUUGUUAACUGAAUCAGUUAGAGUCUUCAGAUAGAGUCCUUUAGAGAAAAAUUUAAUCACUUUUGCUUUUCUAAAACCUCUUUAAAUCCGUUUGACAGUCAAGGCCUCAACAUCUAUUUUCAUGAUUUUUUUCUGAAAGUUAGAAUUUGAGUCUUACCAGUCCAAGUCUUAAACAAUCACAGCCGUACUAUUUUCUUUUUGAGGAGACAUUGUUACAUACUAUCAACUUAAUGGUUUGUGUUAAAUGCAGAGCUGAGAUGUGCUCAAGGAUUGAAUCUCUGGCUAAACAACUCCAGAGAGGUCAAUGAUGUUAUAUUCAAGGGUUAUUGGAAAGGAAAAUCCAGAGGGGGAAAGCAACUGAGAUUGAUGCAGCGUGCAAUCUUUUGAACACGGAUAGGAACAAGUUCAACAUACAACGAAGGCUCAAAUGAUGGGCCCUCAUCGUUGCUUCGAGUUCCCGGCUUAGUCAAUCUGGUUAGACGAAAUAAAUAUGUACUCAAGAGAUCCUCAUCAUUGCAUCUUCAAUAUGCUAUAUUCCAUUGUGUAUGAGAAACAAGAGCGUCUAAGAAUCAUAAUGGACUAGGAGAUGGUCCUUAAAUGGAUGAUUUCCUACGCUUAUUUCUUUUCCAUAUCCGUGCUGUACACUUGUAUGCCUUAUGAUAUUUGGGUUAGCAAUAGGUAAUGCUUUAUAAAUGUUUUCUUUCUUUAACAACGAAACUUUCCCACUUUCUAGGCUUUUGCUGGUUACUUGCAAGACUCGAGUUCUUUCUGCUUAUCCAGUCCACUUUCUAUUUCCUUUAUGAAAGUUAACAGUGCAUAUUUCAGAUCAUGGACAGAGAAAGAUUUGGAAGCUGAUGACUAAAUGGGAUUUCUGAGGUUAAGAUGAACGUGACUAAAGAAGCAUUCUUAGCCGGGUACUUGAUGACUGUUGUCUUGAGCCUGGUGCAGUUGAUGUCUUCCUUGAAUUCAUCUGUUACUAUGGUGGACCGCUUCCAGAGGAUUUACUCCCACAGUUCAAGUGCCGGUUCUAGUUGCAUGGGGAGAAAAAGAUCCAUGGGAUCCAAUCAAGCUUGGAAAAGCUUAUGGAUGAGAAGCCCGGAAAUGGUGAACCCACUUAUUGAAUCAGUCGUUGCGAGACAUUCAAAGUCCAGUACAGCCUUUGCUCCAGGCAUUUGAUCUCAGUUUCUUUUACACUUUUUGUAUAUCGGUACAAAAACAUAUCAUCUGAACCAGCAUAAUUUGUCAACAUGUGAGAACUCAGUGUGACAAAACAGUGAUUGCAUGCAUAUCUUUGAUGAAGUAGAGAUCUCAGUAAAGGAAACAACACCUUUCGCUCCA